rnacentral:rRNA from 1 species
AGAGCGAACGCUGGCGGCAGGCUUAACACAUGCAAGUCGAGCGGGCGUAGCAAUACGUCAGCGGCAGACGGGUGAGUAACGCGUGGGAACGUACCUUUUGGUUCGGAACAACCCAGGGAAACUUGUGCUAAAUACCGGAUAAGCCCUUACGGGGAAAGAUUUAUCGCCGAAAGAUUGGCCCGCGUCUGAUUAGCUAGUUGGUGGGGUAAUGGCCUACCAAGGCAACGAUCAGUAUCC